rnacentral:rRNA from 1 species
UACGUAGGGUGCAAGCGUUGUCCGGAAUUAUUGGGCGUAAAGAGCUCGUAGGCGGUCUGUCGCGUCGGCUGUGAAAACUCGGGGCUCAACUCCGAGCUUGCAGUCGAUACGGGCAGGCUAGAGUUCGGCAGGGGAGACUGGAAUUCCUGGUGUAGCGGUGAAAUGCGCAGAUAUCAGGAGGAACACCGGUGGCGAAGGCGGCUCACUGGCCCGGUACUGACGCUGAGGUGCGAAAGCGUGGGGAGCAAACAGG